GUAACCAACUAGUUCAAUUUUAUGUGCGGUCAUGCUCGACGUGAACCAAGCCUUUGAUAGGACAAUUUUACACCAAGUGCGGUGACGCCACCUUGUCUAUACAGAGCAUCAGAGCCGGAGUCCCACAAGGAGCGUUCUGGGACCACUGAUAUACUCGGCUCGGAUUAGAGCCUCUUGGUCGCCACGUACGUGGAUGAUACUGCUUUCUUUACAACGGCCAACACACCGCAGUACGCGUCCUCCAUUAUGCAGCGUCAAUUAAACUCCCUGGACAGCUGGCUGAAAAGGUGGAAAAUCGCGGUCAACCAGGAAAAAUCCACCCAUAUCACUUUCACGCUGCGCAAAGGAAACUUCCGGUGAGCACAACGAACAAUUAACUAGGCAUGACCCUCGACAGACGGCUGACAUGGCCCGAACAUAUUGUGGAAGGAAGCAGGCAAGCUGAAACAAUAUUACUGGCUGAUCGGCAGGCAGUCCAAAUUGAAUAUUUGCGUCAAGCUGUUUAUUUAUAAAUCAAUUAUCAAGCCAACAUGGACUUACAGAAUCCAUCUAUUGGGUACCGCCAGCAGGAGCAUUAUUCAGCGGUUUCAAAAUAAAGCUCUGCGAAUUUUAUCUAACGCGCAUAUAUACCAUGAAAAUAUCACAAUUCACAGCCUUCUAUAUAUUCCUUGGGUAAAAGAGGUAAUUGCCAAGUUGAGUGAUCGCUACAUCGCCAGACUAGGCAACCACCCAAAAAAUCUUGCCACCAAGACAGCUAAAAGAACACACCCGGUUGACCUCCCCCAAAGAGUCUAAUUCCACACUUCCCACGGCUCCCUCUACACUAAAAAGACACAAAGAUAAUAAUAAUGUUCAAAAAAAAUAUAUUUUUUAUAAUCUAAGCCUAUCAUAAAGAUCGGACAAUAAAGACUGAAGUAAUUCAAGCAUGCAUUCCCCAAUAUGGGACAAAGGGAAAAGCACAGCUGCUGCAGUUCGAACAUGACAUCAGCUCGGCGCUAGGUAAAGGGUAUACCCUAGACUUACACACCAGACUAGACAGCUCUAACUUGUUUGUACUACCCUAAUCUGUAAAAAGUAUAUUAUACAAAAAUUUAUUAGUGAUUCGUUUAGAGAUUGGGAGCUGUCUGUGGUAAUAUGGCCAAGUCAGGUGAACCUUAAAACCCACUAAAUUGUUAUAUAAGUAAAUGUAUAUACAAAUCCAUGCGUAUAAAAUUUUACUUUAACUCAACUUUUACUUACAUUAAAUAAUAAAAAUGCAGUUGAAAUUCGUAUAA